rnacentral:rRNA from 1 species
CGGGUGAGUAACGCGUGGAUAACCUGCCUCACACUGGGGGAUAACAGUUGGAAAUGACUGCUAAUACCGCAUAAGCGCACAGUACCGCAUGGUACAGUGUGAAAAACUCCGGUGGUGUGAGAUGGAUCCGCGUCUGAUUAGCCAGUUGGCGGGGUAACGGCCCACCAAAGCGACGAUCAGUAGCCGACCUGAGAGGGUGACCGGCCACAUUGGGACUGAGACACGGCCCAA